rnacentral:rRNA from 1 species
CUGCUUUGCUGACGAGUGGCGGACGGGUGAGUAAUGUCUGGGAAACUGCCUGAUGGAGGGGGAUAACUACUGGAAACGGUGGCUAAUACCGCAUAACGUCGCAAGACCAAAGAGGGGGACCUUCGGGCCUCUUGCCAUCAGAUGUGCCCAGAUGGGAUUAGCUAGUUGGUGAGGUAACGGCUCACCAAGGCGACGAUCCCUAGCUGGUCUGAGAGGAUGACCAGCCACACUGGAACUGAGACACGGUCCAGACUCCUACGGGAGGCAGCAGUGGGGAAUAUUGCACAAUGGGCGCAAGCCUGAUGCAGCCAUGCCGCGUGUAUGAAGAAGGCCUUCGGGUUGUAAAGUACUUUCAGCGGGGAGGAAGGUGUUGUGGUUAAUAACCACAGCAAUUGACGUUACCCGCAGAAGAAGCACCGGCUAACUCCGUGCCAGCAGCCGCGGUAAUACGGAGGGUGCAAGCGUUAAUCGGAAUUACUGGGCGUAAAGCGCACGCAGGCGGUCUGUCAAGUCGGAUGUGAAAUCCCCGGGCUCAACCUGGGAACUGCAUUCGAAACUGGCAGGCUUGAGUCUUGUAGAGGGGGGUAGAAUUCCAGGUGUAGCGGUGAAAUGCGUAGAGAUCUGGAGGAAUACCGGUGGCGAAGGCGGCCCCCUGGACAAAGACUGACGCUCAGGUGCGAAAGCGUGGGGAGCAAACAGGAUUAGAUACCCUGGUAGUCCACGCCGUAAACGAUGUCUACUUGGAGGUUGUGCCCUUGAGGCGUGGCUUCCGGAGCUAACGCGUUAAGUAGACCGCCUGGGGAGUACGGCCGCAAGGUUAAAACUCAAAUGAAUUGACGGGGGCCCGCACAAGCGGUGGAGCAUGUGGUUUAAUUCGAUGCAACGCGAAGAACCUUACCUGGUCUUGACAUCCACAGAAGAAUCCAGAGAUGGAUUUGUGCCUUCGGGAACUGUGAGACAGGUGCUGCAUGGCUGUCGUCAGCUCGUGUUGUGAAAUGUUGGGUUAAGUCCCGCAACGAGCGCAACCCUUAUCCUUUGUUGCCAGCGGUCCGGCCGGGAACUCAAAGGAGACUGCCAGUGAUAAACUGGAGGAAGGUGGGGAUGACGUCAAGUCAUCAUGGCCCUUACGACCAGGGCUACACACGUGCUACAAUGGCGCAUACAAAGAGAAGCGACCUCGCGAGAGCAAGCGGACCUCAUAAAGUGCGUCGUAGUCCGGAUUGGAGUCUGCAACUCGACUCCAUGAAGUCGGAAUCGCUAGUAAUCGUGGAUCAGAAUGCCACGGUGAAUACGUUCCCGGGCCUUGUACACACCGCCCGUCACACCAUGGGAGUGGGUUGCAAAAGAAGUAGGUAGCUUAACCUUCGGGAGGGCGCUUACCACUUUGUGAUUCAUGACUGGGGUGAAGUCGUAACAAGGUAACCGUAGGGGAACCUGC